AUUGAACGCUGGCGGCAUGCCUUACACAUGCGAGUCGAACGGUAACAGGUUAAGCUGACGAGUGGCGAACGGGUGAGUAAUAUAUCGGAACGUGCCCAGUCGUGGGGGAUAACGUAGCGAAAGCUACGCUAAUACCGCAUACGAUCUACGGCUGAAAGCGGGGGAUCGCAAGACCUCGCGCGAUUGGAGCGGCCGAUAUCAGAUUAGGUUGUUUGUGAGGUAAAAGCUCACCAAGCCUGCGAUCUGUAGCUGGUCUGGGAGGACGACCAGCCACACUGGCACUGGGACACGGUACAGACUCCUACGGGAGGCAGCAGUGGGGAAUUUUGGAAAAUGGACGUAAGUCUGAUCCAGCAAUGCCGCGUGUAGGACGAAGGCCUUCGGGUUGUAAACUGCUUUUGUACGGAUCGAAACGGUCCUGGUUGAUACCUGGGGCUAAUGACGGUAACGUAAGAAUAAGCACCGGCUAACUACGUGCCAGCAGCCGCCGCGGUAA
rnacentral:rRNA from 1 species